GGGUCAGUAGGUUGGUCGUGCCACCGGUACGUACUGGUCUCACUGAUUCCUCCUUCCUGAGGAACCGUAAUGCCAUUAAUUUGGUGUUGAGGGGAAACAGGACUGUUACUUUGAAAAAAUUAGAGUGUUUAAAGCAAGCUAACGCUUGAAUACAUUAGCAUGGAAUAAUGAAAUAGGACGAUCGAUCCUAUUUUGUUGGUUUCUAGGAUUGACGUA
rnacentral:rRNA from 1 species